GGGGCUGAUAUAGCUUUCGACAAUCGGACGUUAACAGAAUAUUCUGCAGAUCGAACAUGCACGAUACGCAUAUACAUAACUGCAAAAUCUAAAGUUGCAAAUGCAUUUGCUAGCCUAAAGAGCGCUUUCGCUGCUCCAAAGUUGGCUUUUGCGCCAAUCGCUGCUUAGUUUAGCGAUCAUUUCUUCUUAGUAAAGCAACAAUACUAGAAUGAAGUGUUAUAUUUUCUGUUGCUUGCUGCACGCCUGGGAAGCGACCUGUGUGUGGGACUUUAUCGCGUAACUAAAGUUUUCAUUUUUGAUUUAUUUUAAAGAUAAUUUUGGUUAUAAAAAUAUUAAAUGAAUCUAUGUCUGUAGACGAAUAUUUUGUUACCGGUUGGACCGGGGGGCAGUACCCCGCAGCUCCACCA
rnacentral:tmRNA from 1 species